GGGUAGUUUGACUGGGGCGGUCUCCUCCCAAAGAGUAACGGAGGAGCACGAAGGUGGGCUAAUCACGGUUGGACAUCGUGAGGUUAGUGCAAUGGCAUAAGCCCGCUUAACUGCGAGAAUGACGGUUCGAGCAGGUGCGAAAGCAGGUCAUAGUGAUCCGGUGGUUCUGUAUGGAAGGGCCAUCGCUCAACGGAUAAAAGGUACUCCGGGGAUAACAGGCUGAUACCGCCCAAGAGUUCAUAUCGACGGCGGUGUUUGGCACCUCGAUGUCGGCUCAUCACAUCCUGGGGCUGAAGUCGGUCCCAAGGGUAUGGCUGUUCGCCAUUUAAAGUGGUACGCGAGCUGGGUUUAGAACGUCGUGAGACAGUUCGGUCCCUAUCUGCCGUGGGCGUUGGAAGAUUGAAGGGGGCUGCUCCUAGUACGAGAGGACCGGAGUGGACGAACCUCUGGUGUUCGGGUUGUGUCGCCAGACGCAUUGCCCGGUAGCUAAGUUCGGAAUUGAUAAGCGCUGAAAGCAUCUAAGCGCGAAGCGAGCCCUGAGAUGAGUCUUCCCUGACAGUUUAACUGUCCUAAAGGGUUGUUCGAGACUAGAACGUUGAUAGGCAGGGUGUGUAAGCGUUGUGAGGCGUUGAGCUAACCUGUACUAAUUGCCCGUGAGGCUUAACCAUACAACACCCAAGGGGUUUUGUA
rnacentral:rRNA from 2 species